CACGUAAUCACAAGAGCAAGGAGGGUCUCCGGGGAACCCUUUGGGAGGACGUACUGUUCGGAUCCCAGGGUCCCCACUGUGCUCGUGUCCCUGUGGCCAUCUCCAGCACGGCUCCUGUCACAGACAGCCCUCCCUGGACCAGGGUGGCUCCCCAGGGCCACACGGGGCCUGAAGGUAUUCCAGGUCUUGCUCGUGAGAAAGCACAGAUGUGAAAAAAUUCAUCUGACUUAG
rnacentral:lncRNA from 1 species